rnacentral:rRNA from 1 species
CCAAUAGCGUAUAUUAAAGUUGUUGCAGUUAAAAAGCUCGUAGUUGAAUUUCGGGAUCAGUACGUUGGUCGUGCCUUCGGUAUGUACUGGUGUCACUGAUUCCUCCCUUCUGACGAGCCGUGAUGUCAUUAAUUUGGUGUUGCGGGGAAUCAGGACUGUUACCUUGAAAAAUUAGAGUGUUUAAAGCAGGCUCACGCUUGAAUACAUUAGCAUGGAAUAAUGAAAUAGGACGUUUGAUCCUAUUUUGUUGGUUUCUAGGAUCGACGUAAUGAUUAAUAGGGAUAGUUGGGGGCAUUAGUAUUCAAUUGUCAGAGGUGAAAUUCUUGGAUUUAUUGAAGACUAACUACUGCGAAAGCAUUUGCCAAGGAUGUUUUCAUUAAUCAAGAACGAAAGUUAGGGGAUCGAAGACGAUCAGAUACCGUCGUAGUCUUAACCAUAAACUAUGCCGACUAGGGAUCGGAUGAUGUUAAUUUUACAAUGACUCAUUCGGCGCCUUACG